rnacentral:lncRNA from 1 species
AUGUUAGCAACCUUAAAAUGUGGCAAGAAAUAUGUUUGGAUAAUUGAUCUUCAAAUUUUUUGUUGACAUUGCAGUUAAGGGUAGAUAUCAAUCUAUGAAGAGAAGCUUUUGAGUUAAGUUUUAUGAUAGUCAAUUCCUCACCCAAAAGAAGGUUUAGGCCUCUCGUGUAAACAUUUUAGAAUUUGGAAUAUGUUACUUGUUACACAAUGUUUUGCUAACAUUUGGAAUAUGU